AAGACAAUUUUUGGCCUUGGCAAAUCAAUAUAAAAUAUCUCAAGCAGUUAUAAUUAUUUAUUUUGUUAUUGAUCUUUUAUAAAAUUAUCUUUGCUUAUGUGUUUUCUUUGAGCUACGCGUUCUAAACAUUCAUUUUAUUUUAGUUCUAGGAUUUGUAUACCUUUUAUCUUUUGUGUCAAUAACCCAUUUACAAUUUUUCCAAAGUAAGACUUUUAUUAAAAAAUUUAUGAUGUCAAUUUUAUGUGCAUAGCAUUCAUCGGAAUCAUCAAACCAGCUUGGAUAUUGUCUGUUUGUUGCGUUUACACAUUCUCCUACAGUAUUUUUUUUAAAUCUCGAUAAAAAUUUUUUUUUUUUAAGAAAGUUGUAUAAUACAUACAAAUUAUUUUUAAAAUUAACUAACUAAAUUAACUUACCUUUUCUUACUUACUAAAAAUGUAUUUCCAACGUGUGUAUAUUGUUUUAUUUAAUAUAGUAAAAUAUAACAUGGGAAAAUUAACAACUUUUUCAAAUUCAAUAAUAAAUAGCAUGAAACACCUACAUCGCUUGAACAAUAAUAAUUGAAAUAUGGUAACAUCGGGACCAAAAGAUAAUCGAAACAAAAACUGUUUCUGAUCUUCUUUGACACAUAGCUUUGAACAGGCAUACUGGCAAGCCAAUAUGCGAAAUCAAAAGCAUUGAUUAUAUAUAUGGGACAUUUUCUUCUAUAGGGAUGAGACUUCUGUAUAGUUUCUUAUUUGUCUAAAAAGUAAACGAGAGAUAUUAAAAUAGUCGUAACGUGAUAUAAUUAGAAAGUUCUACGUGAACGAGCAAAUAUAUUUUUCAUACAUUUACAUUGGAGUCUUAGUUGCUUACAAAUUAUGUAAAAAUAUACAGUUUUACAAAUCAAUAUGGUGAUUAAAUGUAUCUCCAUGAAUGCAUCUAAUCGAAUCAUUUAAGGCUACUUGAAUUUUACAUUGGGAUAAAGAAUCAACGUUAGAAUAAACAACUUCAGAAUAUCUUAUAAGAGGUAAGAUUGGAUUCAUAAAAAGCUGGUUUCUGAUAUCAACUGGAGUAAGGCUUGCAGCCAUCCAUAACUUCCGAAAACAGUCAUAUAUGUAUAUUUAUAUAUACUAUUAAGAGGAAGACGUUGCUACAACGAAUGCGUCAGAAUAAAUAAAGUCCAACUUUCAGCUUGCCUAUGUAUAAGAGGAUCGCUUUCACGAUCCCAACUGCAGCACUCGAUACCGUCCUCUACCUAACACCGCUUGAUAUAUUUCGGAAACAAAUAACUGCAAGCUCUGCUAUUUCCCUCGGCCACUCUGUAAUUCUUAGGUAUUUAGAAUUAAUUCUAAAGCACACAGACCACACCAUCCCCUAACUGCAAUUUGACAGACACUUCCAGAAGUUUGCACAAUACAAAAAAUCACCCGAAACAUUUGUGUAUUUGUAAUAGAAGUUUGUGCUUCAAUUAUUUGUCAGCUAGUAGUGCCUCCCAAUUCUUAUUUGAUUAUGUGAAACAAACACCUAUUUUUAGACAGCUGAUUUAACGUAUUCAGACAGUAAACAGAUUAAUCAGCAUUCUGAAUUCGAACAAAUACUUUUGUUUGUUUUGACAAUUGUAAAAAAAGAAUUUAAGGAAAAAAAAAGGAUUUUGUUAUAAAUAAUUGGUAAGUAUGCAUAGCAUAGCGAUGCGUAUCUUGUCUGAGGAAGCACAAAUGAUUGAAGAACGAGCAAUUCGGAGAAAUUUAAGGGAUCACUCUAAUCCUUUAGAAAUGCGUGAGUCCUUGUAUGAAUGAAAAUACUUUUAAUGUGCGUCAAAAGGAAUUAAUGCUUAUUUUUUCGCAUACCAUUAGUAUUACAAGCUUAACAAAGCAGCAUUUAAGAAUUUGUUGAAUGUGCUUACCAGAUCUUUGCCCUACGCGAAACAAAAAUUUGGUAUACCACCAAUUGUGAAACUAGGUGCAUGUUUACGUUUUUUUUGCAGAGGGUGGCCACCAAAAAGGAGUUGGUUUGGCACAAUCUUCUUUCAGCCUAGUACGAACUAGAGGUUUUUGAACAGGUACUUUGCGUACAGUGAAUAAAAAUUCCAACGCAGGAGGAAAAACGAAAAAUUACUCAAUAUUUGUAUUUCAAGUACAGGCUACCUAGUGUUAUAGGCUGUAUUGAACAUCGUAUCUCCUUCAUCAAUCAAACAUGUAUUCUAAAACAGAAAGGGACAUUGUAGUUUGAAUGUUUUACUUGUAUGCGACAGUGUAAAAAUGAUUCGUUUCAUUGAUGCAACGCAACUCGGAGCUUGUCACGAUUUAUUCAUUUGGAAUGUCAGUGAUCUUAGAGUGAAAGUGGAGCAGGAUUAUAUACAAACCCGCAGUAAUGUUAGAAGAUGCUGGUAGUAGUGGUUCAAAUGAAGAAAAAUAUAAUGAAGUUCACUCGCGGUGUAGUAAUAUAAUUGAGAAAACCAAGGUGUUCUUUAAAACAGGUGCAGAUGCAGGAACAUUUGCAUAAACUAUAAAAGUGACUUAGCUUAUUUAAACUCUAUCAUUGAUGUAUAAGGCUAAGCGGAUCCGUUUGAAAAAAGGGCGAACCAAUGGAUUGAACUGAAGCUAUUUUGCAAUUAGCCAGCUCAUUCGCACAGACAUCAAAAAUUCUUUUUAAUUGUUCUAAUAUUUAAAUUUGAAGUAUUCUUAUAUUACAACAAAACAAAUUUUUCAUAAAAUUGGAAUUGAUUUCUUUUAUUAAAAAACAUAUGUCAACAUAAUCUUAUAUCCUAAAAAUAAAAAUUUACAGUUCUUGUCUUAAAACUAAAAAUGGAUUUUAAAUUUAGUUUUAUCAUUGAAUAAUUACAAAUAGAAGUAGACACCGAACAUUGCUCAAACGACACCAGCGACUUAUGAGCACCCAGUGAGUACAAUUAGUAGCUUGAAUAUCAUUUUCAUGAAAUUGGUUUUCAUAUAUGCUAACUUAUAUAAUAUCCCAUUGCUCAAAAGGUAUGAAAAAACCCUUUUGGGAUCUUUUUGAAAUAUUUGUAUAUAGUUUAUGAAUGAAGACAAUAAUUUCUACAUACACGUUAAAUGGUGUGUUCGUGUCGCCAUAAAAAAGAAUAGGCAUACCUACAUUUAAAAAUAUUAGGUAUUGUAAAUGAUACUAUUCAUAUUUCGAGUUUAAACAAAUUCCAUUUUCUUACUAUUUUUGUUCUCUUUUGGAGAUUCGAUUAAAUUGAUUUACCAAAUCGUUUACAUGGAGGUUUGUUCUUCCAAAUAGAAAAAAUUGCAAUUAGGUACUUUUUCAUGAAUUUUGUUAUCGGUACUGGUAGAUAUACCAUUUAACGAAUGCAUAGUUUUGUGAAUGACAGUACGAUAUAGCCAAGUGCAUGUUGUAUGAUAACUCAAAAAAUAAAUUUCGUCAGUAAAGGCAUUUGAAGGUUUUAAAACUUUUUAACUAAAAUUAAAUACAUAUAAUAUAUUUUAUAGCACUUUAAACUAUUUUUGCAAUGCCUAACUUAAAUAAAUCCAAAGACGUUAAAAAUAAUUGAAAUGGAAUAAAUGCAAAUGACGAUGAAAUGUGCUUAACAUAUUUUGUAGAAUAUAUUGCAAAAUCUGUGCUAAAGAAAAAUUUCUGAUUUAUGCAAAUUGUUUAUGGACAAAAGCAAAUGUCACACUUCAUAUAUGGAGAGUCCUUGUGUCGAAAUAACCAUGAAGCAAGUGAACAUUUAAUAAAAUUUCGUCAAUUCGAAUAUAAUAUUAAUAAGAAUUCGUAAAUUAUCUAAAAAUUACUGUGCAAUGUUUGUAGAAGCUUCAAAAGUACACUUUUUAUUUUAAGGAAAACAAAAUUUAAAAAAGAUUAAAAUGUUGAAAAGCUUUUUCGAUAAUUUAAAGCAUGAUCACAGAACAUGAAGACAUUUGUCCACUCGACGGAUCCGUUCAUUACACCAAACAUUUGUUCUCUAGAGAAGACACUAUGUUGAAAAUAGAGCCUUAGAAUUUCUUGUCGUAUCGGACAAACAGCUAUGAAGUGGUAAAUAUCGUCACGCUCAUUUCUGUUACAAUAAUUGCAAAGGAGAGGUAGAUUUGACCGAAGCGGAAUAUAAUUCAAGUUCAAUAUUUCAACCCUUGCUCUGAAAAUUGUACCUAGAGCUCUCGCAGAAAGUCUAUUAUUGAAAUAAUUUGUCUGUCUAUUUAUGCUGCCUAAAAGUUUGUAGUUUUUUGU